GGCCCGGCAUCCCCGUGACGCGGAGCCAAUCAGGGCUCCGAGCCGGCGCUGCCAGCCCGGCCCCGCCCGCCGCCCCUCGGGCCGGAGAGCUGCGGACGGGGAAGCGCUGCCGCGGGAGCCCGCGGUCGCCUCGCCGCGCUCCAUGGGGAUCGAGAGCUUCUGCAGCGCGGACGCUUCCGAGCCCUUCUGGGAUUGGAAUCUGACAUGGCACACAGAAGAUCCAGACUUCACCCUGUGCUUUCAGAACACAGUCCUGGUCUGGAUUCCUUGCAUUUACCUGUGGCUCUGCUUCCCAGUGUACUCCCUGUACCUUCGCCGUCAUGACAGGGGCUACAUCCAGGUGUCAAACCUCAACAAAGCCAAAACGGCUUUGGGCAUAAUACUGUGGAUAGUCUGCUGGGCAGACCUUUUCUACUCUUUCUGGGAAAGAAGUCAAAAUAUUUUUCGAGCUCCAUUUUUUCUCGUUAGCCCUACAGUAUUGGGUAUAACAAUGUUGCUGGCCACAUUUUUAAUACAAUAUGAAAGAAUAAAAGGAGUCCAGUCUUCUGGUGUAAUGACAAUUUUCUGGUUCAUCUCAUUGUUAUGUGCCACAAUGAUUUUUAUAUCCAAAAUAAAACAUGCCUUAAAUUUGGGUGCUGAUGAGGAUGCAUUUCGUUAUGCCACCUUCUGUAUCUACUUUGUCCUGGUAUUAGUAGAGCUCAUCCUGUGUUGUUUUCCAGAGCAACCACCUUUGUUUUCUGAAACAGUAAAUGAUCCUAAUCCAUGUCCAGAGUUCAGUGCUUCUUUCCUCUCCAGAAUCACAUUCUGGUGGAUCACUGGGUUGAUGAUUCAGGGUUAUCGGAACCCUUUGGAAGCCAAGGAUUUAUGGUCAUUAAAUAAAGAGGACAAAUCAGAGCAAAUAGUGCCAGGUUUGGCUAGAAAUUGGGCAAAAGAGUGGUCAAAGACCAAGAGGCAAUCACUAAACAUGUCAUAUGCGCCCAAAAAGCAGCAAAAAUCAGGCGACUCAAAUGGUGAUGUGACAGAAGAGGUUGAAGCUUUGAUUAUAAAACCAUCUCAGAAGAGUUCUGAAGCAUCUUUAUUCAAGGUGUUAUACAAAACCUUUGGACCAUAUUUUCUCAUGAGCUUCCUUUUUAAAGCUGCACACGAUCUCUUGAUGUUUGCAGGCCCGGAAAUUCUGAAAUUGCUGCUCAACUUUGUAAACAACAAAGCUGCCCCAAACUGGCAGGGCUACUUUUAUACAGUACUGCUGUUUGUCUGUGCCUGUCUUCAGACACUGAUCCUUCACCAGUAUUUUCAUAUUUGCUUUGUAACUGGAAUGAGGCUCAAAACAGCCAUUGUUGGUGUAAUUUAUAGAAAGGCACUUGUUAUCACAAAUUCUGCUAGGAAGACUUCUACUGUGGGUGAGAUUGUGAAUCUGAUGUCUGUGGAUGCUCAGAGAUUCAUGGACUUGGCUACCUAUAUAAACAUGAUUUGGUCUGCCCCUCUGCAGGUGAUCCUGGCGCUGUACUUACUGUGGACGAAUUUAGGUCCUCCAGUACUGGCAGGUGUGGCUGUCAUGAUCCUUCUGGUUCCAAUAAAUGCUGUGAUGGCAAUGAAGACAAAAACUUACCAGGUGGCUCAAAUGAAGAGCAAAGACAACAGAAUUAAGCUGAUGAAUGAAAUUCUCAAUGGGAUUAAAGUUCUGAAACUUUAUGCUUGGGAAUUAGCCUUCAGAGAGAAGGUAUUAGAAAUCAGACAGAAAGAACUCCAAGUCCUAAAAAAAUCUGCUUACCUUGCUGCAAUGGCAACCUUCACUUGGGUUUGUGCUCCGUUUUUGGUUGCCCUGUCCACGUUUGCUGUGUAUGUCAUGGUAGACAAGAACAACAUCUUGGACGCUCAGAAGGCCUUUGUUUCUCUGGCAUUAUUCAACAUCCUCAGGUUCCCACUGAACAUGCUCCCUAUGGUCAUCAGCAACAUAGUAGAAGCCAGUGUCUCCUUGAAGCGCCUCAGGGUGUUCCUGUCUCAUGAGGAGUUAGAUCCAGACAGCAUAGUCAGGGGUCCUAUCAAAGAGGCUGAAGGAUGCAUUGUUGUGAAGAAUGCAACGUUUAGCUGGGCCAAAACCGAUCCUCCUUUGCUGAACAGCAUUAAUUUCACUGUUCCUGAAGGCUCCUUGGUGGCUGUUGUUGGUCAAGUUGGCUGUGGAAAGUCUUCACUGCUGUCUGCCUUACUGGGGGAGAUGGACAAAAAGGAAGGCUACGUGGUUGUCAAGGGCUCUGUAGCCUACGUUCCUCAGCAAGCCUGGGUCCAAAAUGCAACUCUGGAAGAUAACAUUAUCUUUGGAAGGGAGAUGAGCGAGAGCCGCUACAAGCGUGUGGUUGAGGCUUGUGCCCUGCUGCCUGACAUAGAGAUUCUUCCUUCAGGAGACAAAACUGAAAUUGGAGAAAAGGGGGUGAAUUUGUCUGGAGGACAGAAGCAGCGAGUCAGUCUUGCUCGGGCAGUUUACUGCAAUGCAGAUGUCUAUUUACUUGAUGAUCCUUUAUCAGCUGUUGACGCUCAUGUUGGGAAACAUAUUUUUGAAAAAGUUAUUGGACCAAAAGGAAUCCUGAAAAAUAAAACUCGGGUUUUGGUAACCCAUGCAAUCAACUAUCUGCCUCAGAUGGAUACAAUUCUGGUAAUGACUGAUGGAGAAAUAUCUGAGAUGGGCUCUUACCAGGAGCUGCUGAAGCAAGAUGGGGCUUUUGCUGAGUUUCUUCGCACAUAUGCUAAUGCUGAACAAACCAUGGAGAGCAGUGAUACAAACAGUCCAUCUGCAAAGGAAGGCAAGCCUAUAGAAAAUGGAGGCCUUGUGAAUGAAGCCCCUGGAAAGUUGAUGCAUAGGCAGCUCAGUAACUCUUCAACAUACAGCAGAGACACUGGGAAGCCCCAGCAGCAGAGCAGCACAGCAGAGCUGCAGAAGCCACUUGCUGAGAAGAAUUCCUGGAAACUGACAGAGGCUGACACAGCAAAGACUGGGAGGGUGAAGGCAUCAGUGUACUGGGACUACAUGAAAGCAAUUGGACUCUUUAUGUCUUUCUUGGCCAUUUUCCUCUUUAUGUGUAAUCAUAUUGCCUCCUUGGCUUCCAACUACUGGCUGAGUUUAUGGACAGAUGAUCCUGUUAUCAAUGGGACGCAGCAGAACACAACUCUCAGACUGGGAGUAUAUGGAGCACUGGGAAUUUCUCAAGGCAUUGCUGUGUUUGGCUACUCAAUGGUGGUGUCAAUAGGAGGAAUCUUUGCAUCACGACACCUGCACCUUAACCUGCUGCACAACGUCCUCAGGUCCCCCAUGAGCUUCUUUGAGCGCACUCCCAGUGGGAACCUGGUGAACCGCUUCUCCAAGGAGAUAGACACCAUUGACUCCACCAUCCCACCCAUCAUCAAGAUGUUCAUGGGCUCCACAUUUAACGUGAUUGGGGCUUGUAUCAUCAUCCUGCUGGCCACACCUAUAGCUGCUGUCAUCAUUCCACCCCUGGGACUUGUCUACUUGUUUGUGCAGAGGUUUUACGUGGCCACGUCGCGGCAGCUGAAGCGCCUGGAGUCCGUCAGCCGCUCUCCCGUGUACUCGCACUUCAACGAGACCCUGCUGGGCGUCAGCGUCAUCCGCGCCUUCGAGGAGCAGAGCCGCUUCAUCCGCCAGAACGACAUGAAGGUGGAUGAGAACCAGAAGGCUUACUAUCCCAGCAUUGUUGCAAACAGGUGGCUGGCAGUCCGUCUGGAGUACGUGGGGAACUGCAUUGUCCUGUUUGCAGCAUUGUUUGCAGUGAUUGCACGCAACAAACUCAGUGCAGGCCUGGUUGGCCUCUCAGUGUCCUACUCACUGCAGAUCACAGCGUACCUGAACUGGCUGGUUCGCAUGUCAUCCGAGCUGGAAACCAACAUUGUUGCUGUUGAAAGAGUCAAGGAAUACUCUGAAAUGGAGAAGGAGGCUGAGUGGAGCAUUGAGCAAACAGCCCCAGCCAGCAGCUGGCCCGAGGAGGGGAAGGUGGAGUUCCGAGGCUACGGUUUGCGCUACCGCGACGACUUGGACCUGGUCCUGAAAAACAUCAACGUUACCAUCAAUGGGGGGGAAAAGAUUGGAAUAGUUGGAAGAACGGGAGCUGGAAAAUCCUCACUUACUUUGGGUUUGUUUCGGAUUAAUGAAGCAGCUGAAGGUGAAAUUAUCAUUGAUGGGAUUAAUAUUGCCAAGAUAGGGCUCCAUGACUUGCGGUUCAAGAUCACCAUCAUCCCUCAGGAUCCAAUACUGUUUUCUGGCUCUCUGCGUAUGAAUCUUGAUCCUUUUGACCAACACUCUGAUGAAGACAUUUGGAGGUCUUUGGAAUUGGCUCACCUGAAAAGCUUUGUAUCAUCCCUUCCUGAUAAACUGAAUCAUGAGUGUGCUGAGGGUGGUGAGAACCUCAGUGUGGGUCAGCGCCAGCUGGUGUGCCUGGCUCGAGCUCUGCUCAGGAAGUCCAAAAUCCUGGUUCUGGAUGAAGCCACAGCUGCUGUUGAUCUUGAAACAGAUAAGCUCAUACAGUCAACUAUAAAGUCUCAAUUUGAAGAAUGUACUGUGUUAACUAUAGCACAUCGUCUGAACACAAUCAUGGACUACACCAGAGUUUUAGUCCUGGAGAGAGGAGAAGUGGUGGAGUGUGGUACCCCAGACCAACUACUUCAGGAAAAAGGCAUUUUCUAUAGCAUGGCCAAAGAUUCAGGCUUGGUGUAGCACUUGAACGUGGCUAUUUACUGUGGGGAAGAGGGAGGUGAUACAUUUGGAGAACUGUAACUUCUCCUGAGCUGGACUGAACCACACAGCUGAGUUUCAGACACAGUGAAGUUAGCCAGAGCAUGGCAAUGGAAGCAACAUAAAGAUGCAAUUUUUUAUUUUUUAUUUCUCCUUAGUAUUGAUUUUAGCCACCUUUAGGAGAAGCUCAUACACUGUGGAAGACACUUCAGAGACUCCUAUUUUUUGCCUGAAAUCUGUCAUUAUACACUCAAAUAUACAGUGGAGUGAUUCAUCAGAGAGAAAUUCAUUCAGAGAGAAAGGUUUUUCUUCUCAUCUCUUUUAUGUUCUGAAGUUCCCUCCCUUUUUUUUUUUUUUUGUUUAAAACAUUUUUGCAAAUGUUAGUUAUUUGCUUCUUUGCGGAUUCCUCAUUUCAUGAGCCAUCUGUUGUGGGAUGCACUUGGAACAUUUUGUGGCAUAAAGUACUAUAGUCCAAAGAUUUUUCUUCUUGUGAAAUAAAAUGUGUGCCAGACUUUCUCCUUAUGGCAUUUACUGUACAUGGUUAAUGCUUUAUGCAUUGUCCUCAAGGUUUCAUGUGUUUACAGCGUAGAGCAGCAAGUUCCCUGUCAUGUCAGCAGUGCUGAUGUGAAAAGCACAGCCAACUUCAGAGCAGUGUUUCAGCAUGUCUGGAAUGACAACCACUCCAGAACCAAAGUGUGCAGCAGUUGGUGUGUUGCUGUGUGCUGAUCUUACCCCCAGCUCACUCAGGAAUUCCGGCUGGGGUGCCCAGUGCUGGUGACACCUGUGGGGACAGGGCUGAGCAGUGAGGAUUUGCCUGAGCAGAGGCUGCAGGCUCAGGGUGACCUUGAUUGUAACACCCUUGGCUUUGGGAGUUCUGUGCUUUCAUAACAGCUCUGCCACAUCAAGGACCAUUAGCCUUAUAUCAAAGAAACAUGCCCUUCAUGCUGCUGCUGUUGACUCUUAAUUUUUUGUGGGAAAAUGUUCUGUUGCAGUUGUUUAAAAAAAAACAAGGCGUUUUUAAAGUUUUGUGUCGGAAGGGUCUAACAAUUAAAAUGGCAGCGGAGUCUGGUUUUCAAGAUCUAUGUUGAAUUUUCAGCUUUCUGUGGUAAGAAAAAAGUUACUUUUCUAAUGUUCUGAUUAGUCUUAUUUUAAAGGAAAAUGCUGGAAGAAAGCAAACUAAGUCAGAUGGAUCCAGAUACUCAGCACUGAGAAUGUGGACUUCUGUGAUUGAUAUUGCUGACCUUAAUACUAGACAAUUCUUGUCCUUAGAGUAAAGCUAUUUAUUUUUUUUGUAAAUUAUGACACUCUGAAAUUGAAUAGACUGAAAAUUUCUUUGGUAUUUUUUGUAAUGACAAUGCAAAUAUUUGCAAAGAACUUGCAGUAAAAAAUUGUUUGAAAGAAAACGUGUUCUGUCUUGCCUCGUGUUUGACAGAGGGUUUGCUUUGUCAGUUCAGCUUUUUGCCUUGAAAGUAGAAACUGUUGGUCCUGCUGAGACUGAUCAUUCAGCUUGGCCUGGUGUCUGGGGUUGUUAGGGUGGUGGGUAAGAAGCCACGAGUGUAGAUAACUGUGCAGUAGGGCUGCCUUGCUUAGUGGUUUGCUGAGCAGAGCAGGUGACAAUGAAGGCUCAGCAGAGCAGGAGCCACAGUGCUCUUUGUCACCCCCAGUGGUGUCCAUGGCCUGUGUCUGCCACAUCUCCGGAGCUUGGUGUGAAUUUUCUCUGUGGAAAUGGAACGAGCAGGGGCUGACUGGAGAGUUUGGGGAUGAGCUGUGAGUUAGUUUUUGGAGGGUGGACAGAAGGGUGGGAUGCUUGGAGCACAGCUUGGAGUCUGUGCUAAGGGCUGAGGCUGGUGUUGUACAUUAAGGUGGAGAUGGAGCUCCCUGCAGAGACCCAGGGGGGGAACUGUCAGUGCCACUGAGACACCUUUCCUGCUUGGGAGCAGUCAUCCUCCAGGAACACUUUGAUCCUCCCCUUCCACCCCAUUCCUGGCAAGGAAGAGGAAGAGGAGCUGCUGUACAGUUGAAUUUACUGUAUCUGAUUUCAGUGCACAUUGAUGUAUCUGGGCUGACAUUAUUUACUGCAACAUGGAAGAUUUCUCACAUCUGGAAAAGCUGAUUCUGCCAAAAAAACAGCUCAGAAUUUUUAGAAGACCUGCAGAAACCACCCUAAUUCAUGUGUGUGAACAGAGCUACUUCUCUCUCUAGAAAAUGGGUGCUUUAACAAAAGUCACAGCAAGGAGCAGUAUCUCUGUGUGUAUUGGACUGUCACAUUGUCAUCCUGUGAUUCCUGAGGAGCAACCUUGGGACAGCUCUGGCCACAGACACUGUGGGAAGCCCAGGAAGCUUUUGCUUCUGUUUUGGUUAAAGCAACACCUGACAGGUGACCAUGCCAGAGGCUCUGCAGCACCAGGGUGGCACAUGCAAGAGUCAGCUUGCACUCAAGAGGAAAACCAGGAAUGAACCAUCGGGUCAACAGGUGAGAUCCUGCUGUCUCCUCAUGUGCUGCAGGGAUCAGAGAGGAGGGCACUUUCAACCAUGCAAAAUUCCUCGUGGCCAAAUUCAGUUUGGAAAUGUUGGUGUCAAUGUUUGGACAUGCCCUGCUGUGAGCACCUGGCACUUGGCAGUGGGAAUGCUCCAAGCCCCGGGCAGGAGUGAUGGAUGCUCUGCUGCCACUCCCAGCCACGUUCCUGUCCUGUCCCUGCUGGAGCUGGCUCUGCUCCUGCACAGGGAGGGGGUGGAUCUGAUCCCCAGCUGAGACAACAGGCAGCCUGUGCUCUCCUGCUCAGUGGUAUCCUGCCUCCUCUUCCCUCCUGCCCCACUGUUUGUGCACUUUGGAUGAUGAGCUCCAGCUGCUGCCUUGGAGUCCACAGCUGUGUAAGAACAGUGCCGGGGUGAGCAGUCCUUAAGACAUUGACAAAAUACAACAUUUGUUCUGCCUGGGGCUCAGCAUCAACUGCAAACAGUUAAGUUUCCUUGCUACCAGUUAAAUUCUUCCUUGCUGUCCAUAAAAUCUUCUUGGCUUUUAAAAAUAAUUUGUGUAAUCUUGAAGUAUGAUGGGUAUUUGGGUUCCAUUUACAGUACAAAUUAGGAAUGCUGUGGUCUUUCUCUUUUGACUUGUUUGCUUUUAUACCAGAAAAGUAUUUAAGUCCUGACUGGCUUGUUUUCAGCAAUCAAGUGAGGUUUUGGUGUCUGGAAAGAUAAUGACAGUGGAAUUGCUGAGUUUCCUAUGGAAAUAACAUGUAUCCCAAGUUACCCCUUUCCAUCUUCUCACUGCAGUUCU